rnacentral:ncRNA from 1 species
UUCUUCAGGGCAGGGUGAAAUCCCCGACCGGCGGUGAUCGAAACGCUAUCCGAUCGCAAUAGGAUGCGAUAGAAGCAGCGUUUCCCAAGUCCGCGAGCUGAAAAGCACGAACCGGUGCGAUUCCGGUACCGACAGUACAGUCUGGAUGGAAGAGGAA